rnacentral:rRNA from 1 species
GAAAGCGGCGAAAGGGAGAGUAACGCGUGGAUAUUUACCCCUGGAUCCGGGAUAGCUGUGGGAAACUACAGGUAAUACCGGAUAACGUCUCCGGACCAAAGGUGUGAUUCCGUCUGGGGAUGAGUCCGCGUCCUACUAGCUUGUUGGUGGGGUAAUGGCCUACCAAGGCAAUGAUGGGUACCGGGUGUGAGAGCAUGGCCCGGCUCACUGGGACUGAGACACUGCCCAGACACCUACGGGUGGCUGCAGUCGAGAAUCUUCCGCAAUGGGCGCAAGCCUGACGGAGCGACGCCGCGUGCGGGAUGAAGGCCUUCGGGUUGUAAACCGCUGUCAGUUGGGAGGAAAUGCAUAAGGGUUCUCUCUUAUGUUUGACCGAUCUUCAGAGGAAGUCCGGGCUAAGUUCGUGCCAGCAGCCGCGGUAAGACGAACCGGACGAACGUUAUUCGGAAUUACUGGGCUUAAAGAGUGCGUAGGCGGCUUUGUAGGUGAGGUGUGAAAAUCCCACGGCUCAACCGUGGAACUGCGCUUCAAACCACUUGGCUUGAGAGAGACAGAGGUAAGCGAACUGAUGGUGGACGGUGAAAUGCGUUG